rnacentral:rRNA from 1 species
GAUGAACGCUGGCGGCGUGCCUAACACAUGCAAGUCGAACGGAGUCCAGCCUUAGAGACCUUCGGGUCAAAGAGGGGAAGCUUGAGUGGCGGACGGGUGAGUAACACGUGGGCAACCUGGCUCAUAGAGGGGGAUAACAGAGAGAAAUUUCUGCUAAUACCGCAUAAGCACACACUGCCGCAUGGCAGAGUGUGAAAAGAGAAUCGCUAUGAGAUGGACCCGCGUCUGAUUAGCCAGUUGGCAGGGUAAGAGCCUACCAAAGCGACGAUCAGUAGCCGAUUUGAGAGGAUGAACGGCCACAUUGGGACUGAGACACGGCCCAAACUCCUACGGGAGGCAGCAGUGGGGGAUAUUGCACAAUGGGGGGAACCCUGAUGCAGCGACGCCGCGUGAGUGAAGAAGUAUUUCGGUAUGUAAAGCUCUAUCAGCAGGGAAGAUAAUGACAGUACCUGAAUAAGAAGCCCCGGCUAACUACGUG